rnacentral:rRNA from 1 species
UACGUAGGUGCAAGCGUUGUCCGGAAUUAUUGGCGUAAAGAGCUCGUAGCGGUCUGUCGCGUCGGCUGUGAAAUCCGAGCUCAACCUCGGUCUGCAGUCGAUACGGGCAAACGUGGAGUGUUGGCAGGAGACUGGAAUUCCUGGUGUAGCGGUAGAAAUGCGCAGAUAUCAGGAGGAACACCGGUGGCGAAGCGGGUCUCUGGGCAACAACUGACGCUGGAGGAAGCGAA